rnacentral:rRNA from 1 species
UACGGAGGGGGCGAGCGUUAUUCGGAAUUAUUGGGCGUAAAGAGCUCGUAGGCGGUUUGUCGCGUCUGCUGUGAAAACUGGAGGCUCAACCUCCAGCCUGCAGUGGGUACGGGCAGACUAGAGUGCGGUAGGGGAGAUUGGAAUUCCUGGUGUAGCGGUGAAAUGCGCAGAUAUCAGGAGGAACACCGGUGGCGAAGGCGGCAUCCUGGACCGGCAUUGACGCUGAGGCGCGAAAGCUAGGGGAGCAAACGGG